rnacentral:rRNA from 1 species
UGUUUGGAGAGUUUGAUUCUGGCUCAGGACGAACGCUGGCGGCGUGCUUAACACAUGCAAGUCGAACGGUAAGGCCCUUCGGGGUACACGAGUGGCGAACGGGUGAGUAACACGUGGGUAAUCUGCCCUGCACAUCGGGAUAAGCCUGGGAAACUGGGUCUAAUACCGAAUAGGACCACAGAACACAUGUCCUGUGGUGGAAAGCUUUUGCGGUGUGGGAUGGGCCCGCGGCCUAUCAGCUUGUUGGUGGGGUGAUGGCCCACCAAGGCGACGACGGGUAGCCGGCCUGAGAGGGUGUCCGGCCACACUGGGACUGAGAUACGGCCCAGACUCCUACGGGAGGCAGCAGUGGGGAAUAUUGCACAAUGGGCGAAAGCCUGAUGCAGCGACGCCGCGUGGGGGAUGACGGCCUUCGGGUUGUAAACCUCUUUCACCAUCGACGAAGGUUCGGGUUUUCUCGGAUUGACGGUAGGUGGAGAAGAAGCACCGGCCAACUACGUGCCAGCAGCCGCGGUAAUACGUAGGGUGCGAGCGUUGUCCGGAAUUACUGGGCGUAAAGAGCUCGUAGGUGGUUUGUCGCGUUGUUCGUGAAAUCUCACGGCUUAACUGUGAGCGUGCGGGCGAUACGGGCAGACUUGAGUACUGCAGGGGAGACUGGAAUUCCUGGUGUAGCGGUGGAAUGCGCAGAUAUCAGGAGGAACACCGGUGGCGAAGGCGGGUCUCUGGGCAGUAACUGACGCUGAGGAGCGAAAGCGUGGGGAGCGAACAGGAUUAGAUACCCUGGUAGUCCACGCCGUAAACGGUGGGUACUAGGUGUGGGUUUCCUUCCUUGGGAUCCGUGCCGUAGCUAACGCAUUAAGUACCCCGCCUGGGGAGUACGGCCGCAAGGCUAAAACUCAAAGAAAUUGACGGGGGCCCGCACAAGCGGCGGAGCAUGUGGAUUAAUUCGAUGCAACGCGAAGAACCUUACCUGGGUUUGACAUGCACAGGACGCCGGCAGAGAUGUCGGUUCCCUUGUGGCCUGUGUGCAGGUGGUGCAUGGCUGUCGUCAGCUCGUGUCGUGAGAUGUUGGGUUAAGUCCCGCAACGAGCGCAACCCUUGUCUCAUGUUGCCAGCGGGUAAUGCCGGGGACUCGUGAGAGACUGCCGGGGUCAACUCGGAGGAAGGUGGGGAUGACGUCAAGUCAUCAUGCCCCUUAUGUCCAGGGCUUCACACAUGCUACAAUGGCCGGUACAAAGGGCUGCGAUGCCGCGAGGUUAAGCGAAUCCUUUUAAAGCCGGUCUCAGUUCGGAUCGGGGUCUGCAACUCGACCCCGUGAAGUCGGAGUCGCUAGUAAUCGCAGAUCAGCAACGCUGCGGUGAAUACGUUCCCGGGCCUUGUACACACCGCCCGUCACGUCAUGAAAGUCGGUAACACCCGAAGCCAGUGGCCUAACCCUUUGGGAGGGAGCUGUCGAAGGUGGGAUCGGCGAUUGGGACGAAGUCGUAACAAGGUAGCCGUACCGGAAGGUGCGGCUGGAUCACCUCCUUU